rnacentral:rRNA from 1 species
ACGCACGCUGGCGGCGUGCUUAACACAUGCAAGUCGCACGGAAAGGCCCUGCUUUUGUGGGGUGCUCGAGUGGCGAACGGGUGAGUAACACGUGAGUAACCUGCCCUUGACUUUGGGAUAACUUCAGGAAACUGGGGCUAAUACCGGAUAGGAGCUCCUGCUGCAUGGUGGGGGUUGGAAAGUUUCGGCGGUUGGGGAUGGACUCGCGGCUUAUCAGCUUGUUGGUGGGGUAGUGGCUUACCAAGGCUUUGACGGGUAGCCGGCCUGAGAGGGUGACCGGCCACAUUGGGACUGAGAUACAGCCCAGACUCCUACGGGAGGCAGCAGUGGGGAAUAUUGCACAAUGGGCGGAAGCCUGAUGCAGCAACGCCGCGUGCGGGAUGACGGCCUUCGGGUUGUAAACCGCUUUCGCCUGUGACGAAGCGUGAGUGACGGUAAUGGGUAAAGAAGCACCGGCUAACUACGUG